rnacentral:rRNA from 1 species
CCUACGGGUGGCAGCAGUGGGGGAUAUUGCACAAUGGGGGAAACCCUGAUGCAGCGACGCCGCGUGGGGGAUGACGGUCCUCUGGAUUGUAAACCACUGUCCCCAGGGACGAAGAUGACGGUACCUGGGGAGGAAGCUCGGGCUACACACUUCCCAGCAGCCGCGGUAAAACGUAGGGAGCGGGGGUUGUCCGGAAUUACUGGGGGAAAAGGGAGCGUAGCCGGGACGGCAAGUUGGGGUGAAAAUCUACGGGCUCAACCGGUAGCCGCACUCGAAACUGCAGUUCUUGAGUAUAGUAGAGGCAGGUGGAAUUCUUGGUGUAGGGGUAAAAUGCGUAGAGAUUAAGAGGAACACCAGUUGCGAAGGCGGCCUGCUAG